rnacentral:misc_RNA from 1 species
AAGAGUGCGCAAUGAUUUGGCUCAGCCCUGCCGCGAAGUGUGCUUUUGCUGCUGUCAUCCCGGAGUCUGUGCCGAUGGUCAUUUGACUGGUGCACUCUGUAUAUGGACUGAUUGUAGCACAUGUUUUGAAGGUUGUGCUAGUAUGGCCGGUGAAUGUGGAAGUUGCAUGGGAGGUGCCGGCGAAGCUGGGUUGCCAUUUUUAUUUAUAGUGGCUUUAGUCGUGAUUGGACUGUUUACAAUCAUUGGCAUAUUUUACAGUAUUUUGGUUAUUACGAUGGUCGGACAGAGAAUCUGGCAGCGCCACUACCACAUACUUGCAAAAAGAAUGCUCACCAAGGAUGUUGAUGGUGAGGAU